rnacentral:rRNA from 1 species
UACCUUUUGUAUAAUGGGUCAGCGACUUAUAUUCUGUAGCAAGGUUAACCGAAUAGGGGAGCCGAUGGGAAACCGAGUCUUAACUGGGCGUUAAGUUGCAGGGUAUAGACCCGAAACCCGGUGAUCUAGCCAUGGGCAGGUUGAAGGUUGGGUAACACUAACUGGAGGACCGAACCGACUAAUGUUGAAAAAUUAGCGGAUGACUUGUGGCUGGGGGUGAAAGGCCAAUCAAACCGGGAGAUAGCUGGUUCUCCCCGAAAGCUAUUUAGGUAGCGCCUCGUGAAUUCAUCUCCGGGGGUAGAGCACUGUUUCGGCAAGGGGGUCAUCCCGACUUACCAACCCGAUGCAAACUGCGAAUACCGGAGAAUGUUAUCACGGGAGACACACGGCGGGUGCUAACGUCCGUCGUGAAGAGGGAAACAACCCAGACCGCCAGCUAAGGUCCCAAAGUCAUGGUUAAGUGGGAAACGAUGUGGGAAGGCCCAGACAGCCAGGAUGUUGGCUUAGAAGCAGCCAUCAUUUAAAGAAAGCGUAAUAGCUCACUGGUCGAGUCGGCCUGCGCGGAAGAUGUAACGGGGCUAAACCAUGCACCGAAGCUGCGGCAGCGACGCUUAUGCGUUGUUGGGUAGGGGAGCGUUCUGUAAGCCUG